AUGGGACCACUCGUUUGUAGAGCUGCCGUUCAGUGCGCGUCGUGCGCUCGCGUCCGCGUCACCAAGUGGGGCGAACUGCGCCAGUUGCUGGUUGGCUGGUUCCUUACGCGCAAGGCGAUUGGCUGGCCGUCGUGGGUGGGGAUUGGGGCGUCGCAUGGUCUAUGCUGGAGUUGUUCACAUAUAACAAGUUCACUAUUUGUUUCAUUGGUCAAUUGUAUAAUCUGUGGUCGUAUUAAGUUGAACUAUGCUCCUUUAUUGGUAUUUGGAGACAAGAUACUGGCAGUUUUUACGUUACCAGACUGUUUAUUAGUUAUCUGUAGUUUUGUAACACUCUCCAUUGUCUUUUUUUUGCGGUAA
rnacentral:rRNA from 1 species